rnacentral:rRNA from 1 species
UCGAGAAUCUUCCGCAAUGGGCGAAAGCCUGACGGAGCGACACCGCGUGCAGGAUGAAGGCCUUCGGGUUGUAAACUGCUGUCAGAUUCUAGGAACCGCCUGGUGUUAAUAGCGCCAGGUGUGACCACGAUCAAAGGAAGCAACGGCUAACUCUGUGCCAGCAGCCGCGGUAAGACAGAGGUUGCAAACGUUGUUCGGAAUUACUGGGCAUAAAGCGCACGUAGGCGGUCCGUUAAGUCAUGUGUGAAAUCCCCCGGCUCAACCGGGGAAUUGCGCCUGAUACUGGCGGGCUAGAGAUCGAUAGGGGUGAGUGGAACUCCAGGUGGAGCGGUGAAAUGCGUAGAUAUCUGGAGGAACACCGGUGGCGAAAGCGGCUCACUGGAUCGAUACUGACGCUGAGGUGCGAAAGCUAGGGUAGCAAACGGGAUUAGAUACCCCCGUAGUCC